rnacentral:misc_RNA from 1 species
UUCCAGUGUUGCUAGAAUUUCGAGAUUAGCAUUUUUUUUAGUACGCUUUGCGACUCCAAUUUCUGGGACAUAUAUGGGAUCUACUAAUUGGUAACUUUUUUAAUUUUUAUAUACUGUAUUCGAUCAUUUUCAUAGUAAAAAAUUGAUGUGAUGUAAGUGGAACUUGUGAAGCCCCCACUUUCUUUUUGUGAUUUUUUCAUAAGUGCAGUAGGGCAAAGCUCCAAAGGAUUCCCAUUUCAUGACUUAAGCUUUUGCAAAAG